GAGAGAGAGAGAGAGAGAGAGAGAGAGAGAGAGAGAGAGAGAGUGUGUACAAAAACUAUUACUAGAACUUCAACUUUUAACUGCAAGAUCGACAACAUACUCUCACGGUGUCUAUGGUAAGAGGGAAAUCAUGCUACUUCACUAAUUUCCAAAUCGUUUUCUACUCAGCAUCUCUCUUCUUUUAGGGUUGUUGAGGUUCCGUCAUUCUCCUUUUCUACUCAGUAUCUCUCUUCUUUUAGGGUUGUUGAGGUUCCGUCAUUCUCCUUUUCUACUCAGUAUCUCUCUUUUAGGAUUGUUGAGGUUCCGUCAUUCUCCUUUUCUACUCAGUAUCUCUCUUCUUUUAGGGUUGUUGAGGUUCCGUCAUUCUCCUUUUCUACUCAGUAUCUCUCUUCUUUUAGGGUUGUUGAGGUUCCGUCAUUCUCCUUUUCUACUCAGUAUCUCUCUUCUUUUAGGGUUGUUGAGGUUCCGUCAUUCUCCUUUUCUACUCAGUAUCUCUCUUCUUUUAGGGUUGUUGAGGUUCCGUCAUUCUCCUUUUCUACUCAGUAUCUCUCUUCUUUUAGGGUUGUUGAGGUUCCGUCAUUCUCCUUUUCUACUCAGUAUCUCUCUUCUUUUGGGGUUGUUGAGGUUCCGUCAUUCUCCUUUUCUACUCAGUAUCUCUCUUCUUUUGGGGUUGUUGAGGUUCCGUCAUUCUCCUUUUCUACUCAGUAUCUCUCUUCUUUUGGGGUUGUUGAGGUUCCGUCAUUCUCCUUUUCUACUCAGUAUCUCUCUUCUUUUAGGGUUGUUGAGGUUCCGUCAUUCUCCUUUUCUACUCAGUAUCUCUCUUCUUUUAGGGUUGUUGAGGUUCCGUCAUUCUCCUUUUCUACUCAGUAUCUCUCUUUCAGGGUUGUUGAGGUUCCGUCAUUCUCCUUUUCUACUCAGUAUCUCUCUUCUUUUGGGGUUGUUGAGGUUCCGUCAUUCUCCUUUUCUACUCAGUAUCUCUCUUCUUUUAGGGUUGUUCAGCUUCCGUCAUUCUCCAAGUAUUCCCAGACGCUUCCACCUCUCACUUUUAC